rnacentral:tRNA from 1 species
UAAGUUGUAGCUAAGUUAAGCACUUCACUUACAUUGGAGGGAUCACCUAUAGGUGCUACUUAA